rnacentral:rRNA from 1 species
UGAGUGAAGAAGGUUUUCGGAUCGUAAAGCUCUGUUGUCAGGGAAGAACAAGUACCGGAGUCACUGCCGGUACCUUGACGGUACCUGACCAGAAAGCCACGGCUAACUACGUGCCAGCAGCCGCGGUAAUACGUAGGUGGCAAGCGUUGUCCGGAAUUAUUGGGCGUAAAGCGCGCGCAGGCGGCCUUUUAAGUCUGAUGUGAAAGCCCACGGCUCAACCGUGGAGGGUCAUUGGAAACUGGAAGGCUUGAGUGCAGAAGAGGAGAGCGGAAUUCCACGUGUAGCGGUGAAAUGCGUAGAGAUGUGGAGGAACACCAGUGGCGAAGGCGGCUCUCUGGUCUGUAACUGACGCUGAGGCGCGAAAGCGUGGGGAGCGAACAGGAUUAGAUACCCUGGUAGUCCACGCCGUAAACGA